GAUAAAAGCGCAAUCCUAUUUAAGAGCCCAUAUUGACAAUUAGGGUUUACCACCUCGAUGUUUGAUCAAGACACCUCAAUGGUGCAACUGCUAUUAAAGGUUCAUUUGUUCAAUGAUUAGAGUCCUACAUGAUCUGAAUUCAGACCUGAGAAAUCCAGGUC
rnacentral:ncRNA from 1 species